UUUUUAUGAGAGUUUGAUCCUGGCUCAGGACGAACGCUGGCGGCGUGCCUAAUACAUGCAAGUCGUACGCUUCUUUUUCCACCGGAGCUUGCUCCACCGGAAAAAGAAGAGUGGCGAACGGGUGAGUAA
rnacentral:rRNA from 1 species